UAGGGAAUCUUCGGCAAUGGACGAAAGUCUGACCGAGCAACGCCGCGUGAGUGAAGAAGGUUUUCGGAUCGUAAAACUCUGUUGUUAGAGAAGAACAAGGACGUUAGUAACUGAACGUCCCCUGACGGUAUCUAACCAGAAAGCCACGGCUAACUACGUGCCAGCAGCCGCGGUAAUACGUAGGUGGCAAGCGUUGUCCGGAUUUAUUGGGCGUAAAGCGAGCGCAGGCGGUUUCUUAAGUCUGAUGUGAAAGCCCCCGGCUCAACCGGGGAGGGUCAUUGGAAACUGGGAGACUUGGGUGGAGAAGAGGAGAGUGGAAUUCCAUGUGUAGCGGUGAAAUGCGUAGAUAUAUGGAGGAACACCAGUGGCGAAGGCGGCUCUCUGGUCUGUAACUGACGCUGUGGCUCGAAAGCGUGGGGGGCAAAGAGG
rnacentral:rRNA from 1 species